CACGUAGGGGCGAGCGUUGUACGGAAUUACUGGGGCGUAAAGGGCGCGCAGGCUGUUAUGCGAGUCUGCUGUGAAAUUCCGGGGCUUAACUUCGGGCGUGCAGGCGAUACGGGCAAUACUUGAGUGCUGUAGGGGAGACUGGAAUUCCUGGUGUAGCGGUGGAAUGCGCAGAUAUCAGGAGGAACACCGAUGGCGAAGGCAGGUCUCUGGGCAGUAACUGACGCUGAGGAGCGAAAGCAUGGGUAGCGAACAGGAUUA
rnacentral:rRNA from 1 species